rnacentral:misc_RNA from 1 species
GUUGCAGACGAGAGCAGGCAUGCAACGCUUGAAAUAUGCGUUUCAUCGUAAUCACUGAGAUUUGACAGGGGCAAGACUGUGUAACACUGGCAAAUGCAAGCAAUACAUUGGAUAGAUGUCGACAAAUCGCAAGUUAAUCACACAAACCAGGAAAGGCACAGCUGCGAUGAAAUGCUACUCUGAUGUGUCUGCUUUAUAUCCUGACAAACGUGCUUAUGGAUAUCAACGGGGCUUCCCACAUGCUACCGGCAAAGAAGCAUUAGAUGUCAGACCCAAUAUAGGCAUAAGCCGAAAACCAAGCAAAAUAGGAGUGACAGUGAGCAUUGCAACGGAUCAUGCAAAUUGUGUUAACACCCAGUACGAGGUGUCUCCCUCUGGGAGUAAGAGCAUGGAGUGGGUCGGUUUCUCGGAAGAGCUCAAUCCCCUCGUGGCUGCCAGCAGGAAAUGCCAAUUGACCCGCAUAUAUCACAGCAAAAAUAAUAAACGGAAAAUGGAAUCGUAAAAAUUAUUGUAUAGUACCCGCGUCUACAGAGCUUUUAUGCACAUUGAUCUAAGCGAUUAUUCGCUUCCGUAUAGCCUUUACUAUAAGAGAUAUGUUCAUUUGUUUACUAAUACGUAUUUCAAUGUGAUAAGGCUCUAUAAUAUGGUGAUUUUCUAAUUCGUGUAAGUGCUUCCACGUUCAACAUCCUGGCUCGCUAGCAGACUCGUAUAUUUAUACGCAUAGGCAAUACGUGUG